UCGGGAAUUUUGGGCAAUGGGGGAAACCCUGACCCAGCAACGCCGCGUGAAGGAUGAAGUAUUUCGGUAUGUAAACUUCGAAAGAAUGGGAAGAAUCAAUGACGGUACCAUUUAUAAGGUCCGGCUAACUACGUGCCAGCAGCCGCGGUAAUACGUAGGGACCAAGCGUUGUUCGGAUUUACUGGGCGUAAAGGGCGCGUAGGCGGCGUGACAAGUCACUUGUGAAAUCUCUGGGCUUAACCCAGAACGGCCAAGUGAAACUGUCGUGCUAGAGUGCGGAAGGGGCAAUCGGAAUUCUCGGUGUAGCGGUGAAAUGCGUAGAUAUCGAGAGGAACACCUGAGGUGAAGACGGGUUGCUGGGCCGACACUGACGCUGAGUGCGCGAAAGCCAGGGGAGCAAA
rnacentral:rRNA from 1 species